UUGAUUGAUAUAUCUGAUCACCGUGGACCAGAUCUAUUGCCGGCCGAGAUUACAGUUUCUUAUUAUAGAUGCAAUUGGAGUCGAACUUUUUCUUUUUGGGAUUUUCAAAUUCACGCUUGUGAUUUUAAUUUUCUUUCCUUGAGGGUUGCAGUGGUAGAGAGUAUCAAAGAGGAGAUGAAGUUGCCUGGUACCCUGAUGGCGCGCGAUACAUUGGUCAGGCGCAAGUAGAAUCCACUCAUUGCUUACGCAAUUAGAUACAUUGGUCAGUCACGAGUACAAUUAUUGUGGCCAGUCAUAUCAAUUUGUUUCCCCCCUAUUGCUUGUUUUUAAUUGAUUGUAGUGUUUUGAGUGAAUGUUUUACCAGAAUUUGUUUUGAUGCCAGAUAUUGUUUUGCAAGUAGUAUUGCUUGCAACAUAUCUUCUGACUCAGGGUUGGAGAUUUGACAGGAACUUUUUUUUUUUGCUUAUGGUGUUACUAGCAUAGUUUUUCAAUACACAACAACACAUGUGCUAUUAAUUGGGAUCUCUUCUUCGACUUGGUUCCCCUUUGGUACAUGCUGGUUAUUCUGUUUUAUUCUAAAACAUUUUUACAAGGUAGCAAAAGGCACCAUAGAAAGACCACUUGCCAUAAUUUAUUAUAGCUGAUGUUUAUGUGAGUUGGAAAUGCUCAUUUAGAUUGGCUGUGCUUAUCUUUAGCGAAGUUAGCUAGCUACCUGGACAGUUGGGUCUUUAGUACCCGUCCAAACAAGUAGAACCUAUAUAUCUGAUGAUGUUCUUUUUUGUUUUGCCAUUGGUUCCUUUUGCAAUAUGCGUAGGGUGAUCAAGAAUCACCUGGGAUCAUACCGCUAGAAAUAGAAGACGUUUUCACUAUCAUCCAGGAUGUCAAGUGGUCUUAACGGGGUUCAUAUCUUAUUCUCACGGUUCAUGCUAACUAACUGGCUACGUUUUUGUAUUUCAGACUCCACGAAAGGACUUCCUGCUCCGUGUUUCAUAACUUGAAAUAUACAAUGAGGUAAGUGGAACUUUUUAUCCUUGAUAUAUACAUACUUGCUAAACCCUGAAAAGUAGAUAUUUUGGAUUGGGAUAUGUUUUCUUUUUCUUCUGCCUUAUCUUUGAGAACUAAAAUGCUUAACAAUAUAAAGAAUUGGGGGGAGACUACUGAUGAUCUUCUUUUUUUCUAAAGUGUGCUUCUAUGUUUCGGCUGUCUGCAGUUUAUUUGAUGACCGUCUUUGUAUCAGGUGAUAAAUUAUUUACUUUAUCCAACAUGCCAUAAUUUACGUGUUAGACAGGAUUCCCAGGGUCGCUUCAACCUCUAUAGGGUGUUUAGCUUUCUCCAUUUUCUCUCACACACCCACAAUCAUUGUGCUCUGCAUAAAAUAAACGUGAUGAAUUACCUUAGAAUCACAUAUGAAUUUGAUAUCAUUUGAAAAAAGAUAUUGGUUCAUAUUGCAUUUUUCUUUAUGUUGAGGGUAUCAAGGAAGAACUUGUUUUGUCUCCUGGCCACGCACUUCAUUUAUUGCAGCUGGAGAAGAACAUCGCUAUGUUGGUUUAAAUAAUUUCAACUUGUAGAGCAGCAGAAGCCACACUAUAUUUUACACUGAUGGUUGAAAGUAGAACCUAAAUGAGGCGAUACUAGGGUUCUUGCAGAACAAUGAACAGAUCACUGAUUCGGGUCACUUCUCUGCGGUAUUUCAACCUUGACUACAACUAAGUCGUCAGCGUCACCAAUGG